rnacentral:lncRNA from 10 species
ACAGAGUCUCACUUUGUCAUCCAGGCUGGAGUGCAGUGGUGUGAUCUCGGCUCACUAUAGCCUUGACUUCCUGGGCUCAAGCAAUGGGUCAUAAAACCUAGGAAGAAACUUUUGACCUUUCCCUGAAGCAGGUCAGAAGGUCCUCAGGUGAGCCAUACCUUCUCUAUAGCAGGAAGAAAGGAACAUCCUUAUUUCUGAAGACACAGGGACACAGAGAACAAUUUGAACAAACAGGCUUUGCUAAGGUUUUCCUAGUUUAUUACCAUCAAAUCAUACUCUUUUUGCCCUAUUAUAUUUCUCCACAACUUUCCACUGUUCAUCAAAUCUACUACAAAAAAAAAAUGCCCAUUCAUGUUAAAAUGCUUCUUCAGAUCUUCAUUUUCUUAUGAAGGUUUUCAUUUCCUG